CUAUAAUGAAGAUUUCUUGGUCUGCAAAUAAUUCAGGUAUAAAAAAAAGUGAAUUUACAUUCAUGGUGACAACUUCUACCAAAAAUAAACUUUCAAAAAGCAAAAAUUAACAUAACCAGACUAAAUUGAGGAAGAACAACACAUAAACAUCCAAAAGAUAAGAACUUUGACCACAAAUCUUCACAAUUUUACUUUGAUUUGCAAAGAAAUUAGGGCUAGGGCUCCGCUGAUGUUGAG
rnacentral:lncRNA from 1 species